rnacentral:rRNA from 1 species
UACGUAGGGUGCGAGCGUUGUCCGGAAUUACUGGGCGUAAAGCGUGCGCAGGCGGUUCGUUGUGUCGGCGGUGAAAGCCCCGGGCUUAACCUGGGAAUGGCCGUCGAAACUGGCGAACUGGAGUGUGGCAGAGGGGGGUGGAAUUCCGCGUGUAGCAGUGAAAUGCGUAGAGAUGCGGAGGAACACCGAUGGCGAAGGCAGCCCCCUGGGCUGACACUGACGCUCAGGCACGAAAGCGUGGGGAGCAAACAGG